rnacentral:rRNA from 1 species
UGACGAGUGGCGCACGGGUGCGUAACACGUAUGUAACUUACCUUUAACUGGGGUAUAGCUUUGGGAAACUAAAAUUAAUCCCCCAUAGUGUUAAGAUGUGGCAUCACAUUUUAAUUAAAGUUUUAAUGGUUAAAGAUAGGCAUGCGUCCCAUUAGCUAGUUGGAGAGGUAACGGCUCACCAAGGCUACGAUGGGUAGGGGGCCUGAGAGGGUAAUCCCCCACACUGGUACUGAGACACGGACCAGACUCC